GCCCCCUCCUCCGGGACAACCUCGGGAAACCGAGGCUAAUACCGGAUGGUCCCGCCGGGCCGCAUGGCCGGGCGGGGAAAGCCCAGGCGGGAGGGGAUGGGGUCGCGGCCCAUCAGGUAGUAGGCGGGGUGACGGCCCACCUAGCUGACGACGGGUAGCCGCGCUGAGAGGCGGACCGGCCACAUUGGGACUGAGACACGGCCCAGACUCCUACGGGAGGCAGCAGUGGGGAAUUUUGCGCAAUGGGGGAAACCCUGACGCAGCAACGCCGCGUGCGGGACGAAGGCCUUCGGGUCGUAAACCGCUUUCAGCAGGGAAGAAGUUGACGGUACCUGCAGAAGAAGCCCCGGCUAAC
rnacentral:rRNA from 1 species